rnacentral:miRNA from 1 species
AAUACCUGUAGUACUUACCUC